rnacentral:lncRNA from 1 species
AUGAGGGUAUCUUCACUGAAGGGGAAAUCAAGGGCAGCAGAGAAGGUAUCAUUGAGUCCAGCCAAUGGGUCCAGAAUACUGAAUCGCUGAGACUAAAAUACAUGCCUUGCUUGCUGGGAUGGAGAGGGCUCCGAGAGAAGGAUGCACAAAGGUCCCUGGAAUGAAGUAACAUCCUCUUUCCACCAGGAGCAGCCCCUAAGCUGGAAAACUAGCCUAUGCAUGAAGUGGAUAUGAACGGGCUUUUUAAAAAGACUGACCUGCAACCUCUCACCUCAGAAAGGCUGACUUUUCGUUUACCUCAGCAAGUUUCACGAUCCAGUUGCAAAUCAUCGUACUGUUUCCUUGGCUAGCCCAUGGCUGGCGGGCGGCUUGUGGGGUUGUCCACUUUCAGAGCAACCCCCACCCCUAGGCUUCUCUGUGGCUCUGGAUCCAGACAUGCCCCGUGCCCAAGGGAUCCUGGGGGUGUGGGGCGGAGUAUCAGGUUAGAUUCGGUGUCAGUGGUGGAGUUGGUGGUCAAAUGUGAGAGGUCCUGUAUCUUCUUUGCUGUUUGUCCAUGGUAGGUUUCCCAGAGAUCGGGAAUGAGCAAUGGGCAGAUGUUCAGUGCACUUACUAUUUUAAUUCUAGAGUAAACCCACCUGGCUUGUAGGGUUUUAGCUUCUUUACUCCUGAGACAGACACGAUGCUGUCCCAGGUCUUCCGAUUUAUGCGUUUAUGACUGUUUCUUUUUAAACAACUGUAAAUAAAGACGUUCUGGGGUGUUAUUUUAGAAAUAAAAAUAUGAUACAUUUAGUUUCCUGAACUUG